AGAGUUUGAUCCUGGCUCAGAGCGAACGCUGGCGGCAGGCUUAACACAUGCAAGUCGAACGCCCGUAGCAAUACGGGAGUGGCAGACGGGAGAGUAACACGUGGGAACGUGCCCUUCAGUUCGGAACAACCCAGGGAAACUUGGGCUAAUACCGGAUACGUCCGAAAGGAGAAAGAUUUAUCGCUGAAGGGUCGGCCCGCGUCUGAUUAGCUAGUUGGUGAGGUAACGGCUCACCAAGGCGACGAUCAGUAGCUGGUCUGAGAGGAUGAUCAGCCUCAUUGGGACUGAGACACGGCCCAAACUCCUACGGGAGGCAGCAGUGGGGAAUCUUGGACAAUGGGCGCAAGCCUGAUCCAGCCAUGCCGCGUGGGUGAUGAAGGCCCUAGGGUUGUAAAGCCCUUUCGGCGGGGAAGAUAAUGACGGUACCCGCAGAAGAAGCCCCGGCUAACUUCGUGCCAGCAGCCGCGGUAAUACGAAGGGGGCUAGCGUUGCUCGGAAUCACUGGGCGUAAAGCGCACGUAGGCGGCUCUUUAAGUCAGGGGUGAAAUCCUGGAGCUCAACUCCAGAACUGCCUUUGAUACUGAGGAGCUUGAGUUCGGGAGAGGUGAGUGGAACUGCGAGUGUAGAGGUGAAAUUCGUAGAUAUUCGCAAGAACACCAGUGGCGAAGGCGGCUCACUGGCCCGAUACUGACGCUGAGGUGCGAAAGCGUGGGGAGCAAACAGGAUUAGAUACCCCCGUAGUCC
rnacentral:rRNA from 1 species